rnacentral:rRNA from 1 species
UACGUAGGGUGCAAGCGUUGUCCGGAAUUAUUGGGCGUAAAGAGCUUGUAGGCGGUUUGUCGCGUCUGCUGUGAAAUUUCGGGGCUCAACCCCGAACUUGCAGUGGGUACGGGCAGACUAGAGUGUGGUAGGGGAGACUGGAAUUCCUGGUGUAGCGGUGAAAUGCGCAGAUAUCAGGAGGAACACCGAUGGCGAAGGCAGGUCUCUGGGCCAUAACUGACGCUGAGGCGCGAAAGCGUGGGUAGCGAACAGG